GACGAACGCUGGCGGCGUGCUUAACACAUGCAAGUCGAGCGGUAAGGCCCUUUCGGGGGUACACGAGCGGCGAACGGGUGAGUAACACGUGGGUGACCUGCCCUCAGCUCUGGGAUAAGCCUGGGAAACCGGGUCUAAUACCGGAUAUGACUCCAUGACGCAUGUUGUGGGGUGGAAAGCCUUGUGCGGCUGAGGAUGGGCCCGCGGCCUAUCAGCUUGUUGGUGGGGUGAGGCCUACCAAGGCGACGACGGGUAGCCGGCCUGAGAGGGCGACCGGCCACACUGGGACUGAGACACGGCCCAGACUCCUACGGGAGGCAGCAGUGGGGAAUCUUGCGCAAUGGGCGAAAGCCUGACGCAGCGACGCCGCGUGAGGGAUGAC
rnacentral:rRNA from 1 species